GACGAACGCUGGCGGCGUGCUUAACACAUGCAAGUCGAACGGAAAGGCCCUGCUUUUGUGGGGUGCUCGAGUGGCGAACGGGUGAGUAACACGUGAGUAACCUGCCCUUGACUUUGGGAUAACUUCAGGAAACUGGGGCUAAUACCGGAUAGGAGCUCCUGCUGCAUGGUGGGGGUUGGAAAGUUUCGGCGGUUGGGGAUGGACUCGCGGCUUAUCAGCUUGUUGGUGGGGUAGUGGCUUACCAAGGCUUUGACGGGUAGCCGGCCUGAGAGGGUGGCCGGCCACAUUGGGACUGAGAUACGGCCCAGACUCCUACGGGAGGCAGCAGUGGGGAAUAUUGCACAAUGGGCGGAAGCCUGAUGCAGCAACGCCGCGUGCGGGAUGACGGCCUUCGGGUUGUAAACCGCUUUCGCCUGUGACGAAGCGUGAGUGACGGUAAUGGGUAAAGAAGCACCGGCUAACUACGUGCCAGCAGCCGCGGUGAUACGUACGGUGCGAGCGUUGUCCGGAUUUAUUGGGCGUAAAGGGCUCGUAGGUGGUUGAUCGCGUCGGAAGUGUAAUCUUGGGGCUUAACCCUGAGCGUGCUUUCGAUACGGGUUGACUUGAGGAAGGUAGGGGAGAAUGGAAUUCCUGGUGGAGCGGUGGAAUGCGCAGAUAUCAGGAGGAACACCAGUGGCGAAGGCGGUUCUCUGGGCCUUUCCUGACGCUGAGGAGCGAAAGCGUGGGGAGCGAACAGGCUUAGAUACCCUGGUAGUCCACGCUGUAAACGGUGGGUACUAGGUGUGGGGUCCAUUCCACGGGUUCCGUGCCGUAGCUAACGCUUUAAGUACCCCGCCUGGGGAGUACGGCCGCAAGGCUAAAACUCAAAGGAAUUGACGGGGCCCCGCACAAGCGGCGGAGCAUGCGGAUUAAUUCGAUGCAACGCGUAGAACCUUACCUGGGUUUGACAUGGAUCGGGAGUGCUCAGAGAUGGGUGUGCCUCUUUUGGGGUCGGUUCACAGGUGGUGCAUGGCUGUCGUCAGCUCGUGUCGUGAGAUGUUGGGUUAAGUCCCGCAACGAGCGCAACCCUUGUUCACUGUUGCCAGCACGUUAUGGUGGGGACUCAGUGGAGACCGCCGGGGUCAACUCGGAGGAAGGUGGGGAUGACGUCAAGUCAUCAUGCCCCUUAUGUCCAGGGCUUCACGCAUGCUACAAUGGCUGGUACAGAGAGUGGCGAGCCUGUGAGGGUGAGCGAAUCUCGGAAAGCCGGUCUCAGUUCGGAUUGGGGUCUGCAACUCGACCUCAUGAAGUCGGAGUCGCUAGUAAUCGCAGAUCAGCAACGCUGCGGUGAAUACGUUCCCGGGGCU
rnacentral:rRNA from 1 species